rnacentral:lncRNA from 1 species
CUACUGUCUGAGUAAACGUGUGCAUUUGUAGAAAAUAGAUUCCUUCUUAAAAUUUUUAUGAUUUAAACCAAAUUGUUCCCUCAUAAGAACACUAAAAGAAAAUAUAAAUAUAUCUUUCAAAGCAUACAUAUCUUUAUGUGGAUUGGGGAUAUGCGUGUUUCAGUAUUAAAUAGGGCUUCUCUUUUACUCUCAAGUAUUAAGUCACUUUGUAGUAUGUAGCUAUUUUAUUUUAUACUACAUUAAUGUUAUGGUGUGUUGAAGUGAUACAAUCAUAGUUUGGUUCACAGAUCAUGAUUUAUAUUUCAUUACCAUUGAUUAUAUGAGAUGUCAUAUCAUCAGAAAGUAAUAUGCUUAAGUUACACAAAUAAUCUUUCCCCAUUUGUAAUAAGGCAAACAGACAUCUUUAAAAUAUGAAUGUUAUUUUGAAUGUCUACUAAAGAUACCUGUUUAAACAGACUAUAUAAUUUGAGAUGUGUAAGUAUGGUCGAUUGUUUUUCCCAAAAGUCCAUGCUGCAUAUCUUGGAAAAAGAUUACAAAGGUGCAUCAUUUCACACAAUUUCUAUCAAUUCUAUGGCAAUUCAACCCACUGUGAACCAUUAACUACCAAAGACACUUUGAAAUCCUUUUAACAGAGCAGCAAAAGUUCUAUCUAUGAUGCUGGUAGGAGUUAAAACUUUAUAUCAAGAAAUCAGCAGAAGCACUUCACAGGAAUUUCAGAUGCCCUGUGUUCAUUACAUAUGUGUGCACAUGCCUGUAGAACUCACCCUAAUCUGGAAGAGGAGUUUUAGUUCUAAAUAAUUCGUUCCUAAGACAAAGAAUAGAGGGGCUAAUUAAGUUUGUAGUGUUGAGUCACACAAAUGCAGUUGUUCUAGCAGAAUUUCUUUAAGAAGAGGUGGGGAUUUUAGAUAUUGAGACAAUCAUACUUUAAAAGUAUGACUAAUUAUUGCCUAUAAAAAAGGCAAAAGAAUGUUCAUUGGACACUCAUUUUAUUGAAGUGAUAAUGAAGGCAGUGGGGUUCUUUGAACUGAGAAGGCAUGCCAAGUAUUAAAGAGAUGUGUCUGUGCUCACACUGUUGGGUCCAUUUUGGGAACCUGGGUUGUAGUGCAGAGAGGACAGAGAUGAGUCGGAAAGCUGAGCAUGGUAAUAUUAUUCAUGAACGCAUAGAAAUAAAACAAAGUAAAACAUUAACUAAGAAAGUAAUAGGCCAGGCAAGGGGAGUGCCUCAUAAUCAUGUAUCUAUAACUAGCACAUUAAUUUUAUAUUAAUCCUAAUAUCCCUCAUUUGCAAGCAUUGAAUUCUUUCAAAACGAAUCAAUAUCCCAGCAUUGCAGUGUUCAGUGUGAAAAAGCUCUUUCAAUACAAGCCAGGAGGGAAAUGUUUUUUACUUACUCCAUAAUAGAAAUAUGUUCAACCGUCCAGUGGAGAUUUCUAACAAUGGUUUCAGGAAAUACCAGACACAACUCUUACUUUUUCCUUCUCUUUGAAGUCAUGCUUAAGAUGUUCUUAUGGUCCCCGUCAAAAGCAUAGUAUUCAUUUCUCAUAUUCAUUUCUGCUGUGCCAGCAUCUGCAGAGUCUAUAGGACAAUAAAUGUCUUCCUCCAGCAUAAAGCUCAUUUUUUUAUCUGUUUUUUUUUUUAAUUUACAACUGUGACAUUGGGAAACUUGUUUUCUAAUUUCAUCUGUGCCACUGGAUGCUGCUACCCAGCACGUGAUUCCCUGCCUAACUGGGAAUCACAUCCCUGCUACCAACUAGAACCUUGCAUAUUGUAUUUAUCAUAGAGGAAUUUGUAGUCUAGAAACUCAACAGGAGGAAUACCCUUGCUAAUCGUUUAUUUAAUAGCUCUAUGUGUCAAGCAUUAUUAAAAAUAAUGAAAAUGAACUUGGUAUUAUAGCUCAUGCUUGUAAUCAAAACAUAUGAGCAUAAGGAAAGAGGAAGGCCAUAAGUUUGAGGCCAGCCUAGGUUACCCAUUGAGUUUGAGGUAACCUCAGCCAUUGUCUGAGGUCCUAUUUUAAAAACAAAACCAAAAGCAAAAUGUUCCAAAUCCAGAUCAACCAACCAAACAUCCAUCCAAAAAGAACAAAACAAAAUGAAAACAAAACAAAAAGUCUAGUUCUAUAAAAAUGCAAUGUAUCAUCAUAGCAUCACAGAACAGUGUUCUUGACAAGGACAUUAUGUUUGGGGAUCGAGUAACAUGAACAAGAUUAUUAUCAGAGUUCUCUGGCUUGAGAUGUGACUCAGUUGAUAAAGUGCCUAGAAUGCAGGAAGCCAAGUUUAAUUCCAGCAUCACUUAUAACUAGGAAUAGCAGAACAGGUCUAUGACUCCGGGAUUCAGGAGGUGGAGGACAAUCAGAAGUUCAAGGUCAUUAUGUGAUAUACAGCCAGACCACUACUUCAAAGCUUUUCUAGUAAUAUUAGAGGCUAGGUCUAAAACACUUAAACUUACAAGAAAAAAAGUAAUUCCUGCCCCCCCCCC